AGCAUUCUGGAGAAAGCGAUUUGGUGGAACUUUUUAAUGGAUCAGACUCCCCAUUCCGGCUUCGUUUAAAUCUAUGGAAAAGACGAUUAAAAUUUGGUGGAGACAAGCCGGGUUAAAAAGCUAAGCUGGAAAAAGUGGUUUAUGUUGGGUGGUUUUCCUACUUCGUGCUGGAUACCAAAGGUGAGAAACUAGAAUCAUGUGCAAGCAACAUGUUACCUCUGUUCGCAUUAUUGCAUCCAUGGCGGAUUUUUCCUCUUUUCUUUGAAGAUGAUACAUUUCGUAUCUUGGGUUGGCAUUUGAGACUAUGAGUGCAACUGUCAUGGGUCGUCCCUAUGGUGCAAAGUUAUUAUAGAAGUUACCUUUCAAUGCGUGACUAGCGAGAUGCAACCCACGUGUUGCCGCGUGGACGCGAGGCGAAUUCUAUCAGAAUUGGUUCGUUAAAAUGUCAACAUUAACUUGGAAACAAUGGGUGCAUGGACCAGUCAAAUUGAACAAAGAAAAGUUGCUAAGGUUGGAGACUAAUCAUAAAAAAAUCAAGUUAUCAAGUUAUCAGUUAUUUACCGUUAACAUAUGUAUCAAGUUAUCAGUAAUAUAUCACUCUGUUUGUAUUUAUUUUAUUUAUAAACUUAUAAUUAAUAUAAAUCAGAAUUUCCUACCCGGGAAGUUCCCGGGUGAUAA